GAUGAACGCUGGCGGCGUGCCUAAUACAUGCAAGUAGAACGCUGAAGGAGGAGCUUGCUCUUCUGGAUGAGUUGCGAACGGGUGAGUAACGCGUAGGUAACCUGCCUGGUAGCGGGGGAUAACUAUUGGAAACGAUAGCUAAUACCGCAUGACAACAGUUAUUGCAUGAUAACUGUUUAAAAGGGGCAACUGCUCCACUACCAGAUGGACCUGCGUUGUAUUAGCUAGUUGGUGAGGUAACGGCUCACCAAGGCGACGAUACAUAGCCGACCUGAGAGGGUGGUCGGCCACACUGGGACUGAGACACGGCCCCGACUCCUACGGGAGGCAGCCGUAGGGAAUCUUCGGCAAUGGACGGAAGUCUGACCGAGCAACGCCGCGUGAGUGAAGAAGGUUUUCGGAUCGUAAAGCUCUGUUGUAAGAGAAGAAAGAGUGUGAGAGUGGAAAGUUCACACUGUGACGGUAUCUUACCAGAAAGGGACGGCUAACUACGUG
rnacentral:rRNA from 1 species